rnacentral:rRNA from 1 species
AGUCGUGGGGGAUAACCGCUUGCUUUUUUGAGACCGGCGCACGGGUGAGUAACGCGUAUGCAACCUACCUUAUACAGGGGAAUAGCCCGAAGAAAUUCGGAUUAAUGCUCCAUGGUUUAUCGAUAUGGCAUCGUAUUGAUAAUAAAGAUUUAUCGGUAUAAGAUGGGCAUGCGUAUCAUUAGCUAGUUGGUGUGGUAACGGCAUACCAAGGCAACGAUGAUUAGGGGUCCUGAGAGGGAGAUCCCCCACACUGGUACUGAGACACGGACCAGACUCCUACGGGAGGCAGCAGUGAGGAAUAUUGGUCAAUGGAGGCAACUCUGAACCAGCCAUGCCGCGUGCAGGAUGACGGUCCUAUGGAUUGUAAACUGCUUUUGUACAGGAAGAAACCUCCCUACGAGUAGGGACUUGACGGUACUGUAAGAAUAAGGAUCGGCUAACUCCGUGCCAGCAGCCGCGGUAAUACGGAGGAUCCGAGCGUUAUCCGGAAUUAUUGGGUUUAAAGGGUUCGUAGGCGGCUUUGUAAGUCAGUGGUGAAAUUUCCUAGCUUAACUAGGACACUGCCAUUGAUACUGCAGAGCUUGAAUAAUAUGGAAGUAACUAGAAUAUGUAGUGUAGCGGUGAAAUGCUUAGAUAUUACAUGGAAUACCAAUUGCGAAGGCAGGUUACUACGUAUUUAUUGACGCUGAUGAACGAAAGCGUGGGGAGCGAACAGGAUUAGAUACCCUGGUAGUCCACGCCGUAAACGAUGGAUACUAGCUGUUCGGUUUUCGGACUGAGUGGCUAAGCGAAAGUGAUAAGUAUCCCACCUGGGGAGUACGUUCGCAAGAAUGAAACUCAAAGGAAUUGACGGGGGCCCGCACAAGCGGUGGAGCAUGUGGUUUAAUUCGAUGAUACGCGAGGAACCUUACCAGGGCUUAAAUGUAGAUUGACAGAUUUGGAAACAGAUUUUUCUUCGGACAAUUUACAAGGUGCUGCAUGGUUGUCGUCAGCUCGUGCCGUGAGGUGUCAGGUUAAGUCCUAUAACGAGCGCAACCCCUAUUGUUAGUUACCAUCGCGUAGUGGCGGGGACUCUAGCAAGACUGCCGGUGCAAACCGUGAGGAAGGUGGGGAUGACGUCAAAUCAUCACGGCCCUUACGUCCUGGGCUACACACGUGCUACAAUGGCAAGUACAGAAAGCAGCUACCUGGCAACAGGAUGCGAAUCUCCAAAGCUUGUCUCAGUUCGGAUUGGAGUCUGCAACUCGACUCUAUGAAGCUGGAAUCGCUAGUAAUCGGAUAUCAGCCAUGAUCCGGUGAAUACGUUCCCGGGCCUUGUACACACCGCCCGUCAAGCCAUGGAAGCUGGGGGUACC